rnacentral:ncRNA from 1 species
GAACGCUGUGUGCGGUGAAAAUCGCAUGCACAGUGUGAAACGGGGGAAAACUUAGAGAUUAUAUCAAAGAGUUACCUAUCGUUAU